rnacentral:rRNA from 1 species
GAGCUGGCGGCAUGCCUAUCAUGCAAGUCGAACGCUUUGAUUUCACCGGGUGCUUGCACCCACCGAAGUCAAAGAGUGGCGGACGGGUGAGUAACACGUGGGUAACCUGCCCAUAAGAGGGGGAUAACAUUCGGAAACGGAUGCUAAUACCGCAUACUUCUAAUCGCCUCCUGGCGAAUGGAAAAAAGGUGGCUUCGGCUACCGCUUAUGGAUGGACCCGCGGCGUAUUAGCUAGUUGGUGAGGUAAUGGCUCACCAAGGCGAUGAUACGUAGCCGACCUGAGAGGGUGAUCGGCCACACUGGGACUGAGACACGGCCCAGACUCCUACGGGAGGCAGCAGUAGGGAAUCUUUCGCAAUGGACGAAAGUCUGACGGAGCAAUGCCGCGUGAGUGAAGAAGGUUUUCGGAUCGUAAAACUCUGUUGUUAGAGAAGAACAAGGAUGAGAGUAACUGCUCAUCCCCUGACGGUAUCUAACCAGAAAGCCACGGCUAACUACGUGCCAGCAGCCGCGGUAAU